GUCAAGAAUAUAAAAAAGGCCUAUGAUGAAUACUUUGAUUACAUCUUCAAUCAUAAUAUUCCCUUCCUUCGAACGGAGUCUAUGAAGAGGAUCAGUAAUGUUUCAGAGGUUGAAAGUUUUACCAAUCAAGGCGGUGGAAUCUAAAUAAGCGAUAAAGGGUCGAAAGUGAACAUGAUGAAGGGCUGUAAUGAUGGCAAACCGACUUCGUUUACGGUUACAACGCUUUUAAUCCUUCUCUGCUCAGUUCUUCUCCUUCAAAGCUCUCAAGCAUUCUUUUUCUUUGGAUCAAGACAUAGUUGCAACGACUGUGAAACCUUUUUGGCAUGCAUUUUUUGUGGAAGAAGUGUAGGCCCAGUUGGUGGAUUUGGUGGCAAAUGAGCCCACAGACAUUUACAAAACAAUUUCUCCAAAGAUUGCCUUAAAAAUACAUUUAUUAUGAUUGUCAAAUAGAUAUUAAUUUUCGAGUAAAAUCCAUUUAAAAAAAUUCCCUUCAUUGCAUGUCUUGGC
rnacentral:lncRNA from 1 species